rnacentral:rRNA from 1 species
GACGAACGCUGGCGGCGUGCCUAAUACAUGCAAGUUGAGCGCUGAAGGUUGGUACUUGUACCGACUGGAUGAGCAGCGCACGGGUGAGUAACGCGUGGGGAAUCUGCCUUUGAGCGGGGGACAACAUUUGGAAACGAAUGCUAAUACCGCAUAAAAACUUUAAACACAAGUUUUAAGUUUGAAAGAUGCAAUUGCAUCACUCAAAGAUGAUCCCGCGUUGUAUUAGCUAGUUGGUGAGGUAAAGGCUCACCAAGGCGAUGAUACAUAGCCGACGUGAGAGGGUGAUCAGCCACAUUGGGACUGAGACACGGCCCAAACUCCUACGGGAGGCAGCAGUAGGGAAUCUUCGGCAAGGGACGAAAGUCUGACCGAGAAACGCCGAGUGAGUGAAGAAGGUUGUCGGAUCGUAAAACUCUGUUGGUAGAGAAGAACGUUGGUGAGAGUGGAAAGCUCAUCAAGUGACGGUAACUACCCAGAAAGCAACGGCUAACUACGUG